rnacentral:rRNA from 1 species
CGCCUUGCCAGCCCGCUCAGAACUUAAAUAGAAUUGACGGGGGCCCGGCACAAGCGGUGGAGUAUGUGGUUUAAUUCGAUGCAACGCGAAGAACCUUACCUGGUCUUGACAUCCCGGAGACCCUUAGGAACUAGGGGUGCUUCCAUCUGGAAGAAUCUGGAGACAGGUGCUGCAUGGCUGUCGUCAGCUCGUGUCGUGAGAUGUUGGGUUAAGUCCCGCAACGAGCGCAACCCUUGCCUUUAGUUGCCAGCAGUUCGGCUGGGCACUCUAAAGGGACUGCCGGUGUUAAACCGGAGGAAGGUGGGGAUGACGUCAAGUCCUCAUGGCCUUUAUGACCAGGGCUACACACGUACUACAAUGGCCGAUACAAAGGGCAGCGACACUGCGAGGUGAAGCCAAUCCCGUAAAAUCGGUCUCAGUCCGGAUUGGAGUCUGCAACUCGACUCCAUGAAGUUGGAAUCGCUAGUAAUCGUGGAUCAGCAUGCCACGGUGAAUACGUUCCCGGGCCUU